rnacentral:ncRNA from 2 species
CUUGUUUGGGAGAUCAUCGGUGCCUCCCGCGGGAGGUGAAACGGGAAUGCGGUGCGGGGAUACUGCCCCCAAUACCGCGGCUGCCCCCGCAACUGUAAGCGGCCAUCCGUAUCCAUUCGGCCACUGACCAUGCCAUGCAUGUGCGGGAAGGCGGAUCCGGAUAACGGCCGCGAGCCAGGAGACCGGCCGGUGACGCAUUCUUAGG